AGAGUUUGAUCCUGGCUCAGGAUGAACGCUGGCGGCGUGCCUAAUACAUGCAAGUCGAGCGAACGGACGAGAAGCUUGCUUCUCUGAUGUUAGCGGCGGACGGGUGAGUAACACGUGGAUAACCUACCUAUAAGACUGGGAUAACUUCGGGAAACCGGAGCUAAUACCGGAUAAUAUUUUGAACCGCAUGGUUCAAAAGUGAAAGACGGUCUUGCUGUCACUUAUAGAUGGAUCCGCGCUGCAUUAGCUAGUUGGUAAGGUAACGGCUUACCAAGGCAACGAUGCAUAGCCGACCUGAGAGGGUGAUCGGCCACACUGGAACUGAGACACGGUCCAGACUCCUACGGGAGGCAGCAGUAGGGAAUCUUCCGCAAUGGGCGAAAGCCUGACGGAGCAACGCCGCGUGAGUGAUGAAGGUCUUCGGAUCGUAAAACUCUGUUAUUAGGGAAGAACAUAUGUGUAAGUAACUGUGCACAUCUUGACGGUACCUAAUCAGAAAGCCACGGCUAACUACGUGCCAGCAGCCGCGGUAAUACGUAGGUGGCAAGCGUUAUCCGGAAUUAUUGGGCGUAAAGCGCGCGUAGGCGGUUCUUUAAGUCUGAUGUGAAAGCCCACGGCUCAACCGUGGAGGGUCAUUGGAAACUGGAAAACUUGAGUGCAGAAGAGGAAAGUGGAAUUCCAUGUGUAGCGGUGAAAUGCGCAGAGAUAUGGAGGAACACCAGUGGCGAAGGCGACUUUCUGGUCUGUAACUGACGCUGAUGUGCGAAAGCGUGGGGAUCAAACAGGAUUAGAUACCCUGGUAGUCCACGCCGUAAACGAUGAGUGCUAAGUGUUAGGGGGUUUCCGCCCCUUAGUGCUGCAGCUAACGCAUUAAGCACUCCGCCUGGGGAGUACGACCGCAAGGUUGAAACUCAAAGGAAUUGACGGGGACCCGCACAAGCGGUGGAGCAUGUGGUUUAAUUCGAAGCAACGCGAAGAACCUUACCAAAUCUUGACAUCCUUUGACAACUCUAGAGAUAGAGCCUUCCCCUUCGGGGGGCAAAGUGACAGGUGGUGCAUGGUUGUCGUCAGCUCGUGUCGUGAGAUGUUGGGUUAAGUCCCGCAACGAGCGCAACCCUUAAGCUUAGUUGCCAUCAUUAAGUUGGGCACUCUAAGUUGACUGCCGGUGACAAACCGGAGGAAGGUGGGGAUGACGUCAAAUCAUCAUGCCCCUUAUGAUUUGGGCUACACACGUGCUACAAUGGACAAUACAAAGGGCAGCGAAACCGCGAGGUCAAGCAAAUCCCAUAAAGUUGUUCUCAGUUCGGAUUGUAGUCUGCAACUCGACUACAUGAAGCUGGAAUCGCUAGUAAUCGUAGAUCAGCAUGCUACGGUGAAUACGUUCCCGGGUCUUGUACACACCGCCCGUCACACCACGAGAGUUUGUAACACCCGAAGCCGGUGGAGUAACCUUUUAGGAGCUAGCCGUCGAAGGUGGGACAAAUGAUUGGGGUGAAGUCGUAACAAGGUAGCCGUAUCGGAAGGUGCGGCUGGAUCACCU
rnacentral:rRNA from 1 species